UGGGGAAUAUUGCACAAUGGGCGCAAGCCUGAUGCAGCCAUGCCGCGUGUAUGAAGAAGGCCUUCGGGUUGUAAAGUACUUUCAGCGAGGAGGAAGGCGGUGAGGGUAAUAACCUCAUCGAUUGACGUUACUCGCAGAAGAAGCACCGGCUAACUCCGUGCCAGCAGCCGCGGGAAUACGGAGGGUGCAAGCGGUAAUCGGAAUUACUGGGCGUAAAGCGCACGCAGGCGGUCUGUCAAGUCGGAUGUGAAAUCCCCGGGCUCAACCUGGGAACUGCAUUCGAAACUGGCAGGCUAGAGUCUUGUAGAGGGGGGUAGAAUUCCAGGUGUAGCGGUGAAAUGCGUAGAGAUCUGGAGGAAUACCGGUGGCGAAGGCGGCCCCCUGGACAAAGACUGACGCUCAGGUGCGAAAGCGUGGGGAGCAAACA
rnacentral:rRNA from 1 species